GCUCACUGGGCUGGCGGCCGAGCCGUCACCGCCGGCCGAGCCGUCACCGCCGCCCGCCCGGAAGGGGGAAAAAUGGUUUAAAAAAAAAAAGAAGAAAGAAAGAAAGGGGCGAAGCGAGUUCUCGACGAACCACGCGAGAGCGUGAAAGUUAGUGCCCGAGUGGCGUGUCAUCCCGUGACAAACUACAGAUGGGGCAUCCAGUCGAGUUCUUCACCUUCCACACAAAGCAUCGAAGAAACAGACGUUUGUACCUUUACAGCACUAAACACAACACGGACCAACACCUUUGCACCGCUGCUGCUUUGUGUUCACCGUCCCGAACACAGCCCUCGCAGUCACCUCCAAGAGUACAGAAAGCGAGAGGAAGGCGCCAAAGCAAGGCCAGAAGCACCUCUCUGUGAGGAGGACGGCUCUCUGUAGCCCCGCUGGCCACCGCGGCCUCCCCCGCGCUGCCGGCUGCGGCGCGCCCCCUGCUGGCGGCGGCGGGGACCGGCGCGGGGCUGGCAAAUGGACGAGGUGAAAGAGAAGGAGCAGCGACUGCCGGUUAACCGGGCAGCAUGCGGUGAAAUGCAGGUUACAGCAGCAUCGAAGAGUUCCCCUUGCUUUUGCAGAGCCCUUCGCCAAGGCUGAUUUUGCUAGGGGUGAAAGAGAGCGCGGCUGAUGCUGGAGGAAUGGCCUGUGCACAGGGGAUGCUGACACAACCUUCAGUCUGAGUCUCAGCUUGUGAAUAAAGGCAGAACGGGUAACUUCAGUAUUCUGAAUGAAAUGAUAUAGUUCUGACAGGGCAGCAGUGGUUGGGACCCACAGUGUGUGCUGCCAAAGGAGAGUCUCCGAGCAGCAGCACUGUGCUGCAAGCACUGGCAUUGUAGAGCUCCUUGGAUGGCAUGAGGGUGAAACAGAGGUGAAGGAGGAUUCCAGGUACACAUAUUGUACUGUUUUGUAUGAUUUCUCACUAGCUAUUUUGUGUUACAUAUUUAUUCCUGUUGCACUCUACUACCUGCUAGAAUUGUGCUCUGGACUGGCCAUUCAUCUGACCAGCUCUGAGUCACCAACUAGACCUGGCUCUGACAAGCCCUGUGCAUGCUCCUGAAGUGCAUUUACUCACUCUGAAGUGCUCAAGGGAAGUACAUGCAAAGGAAUACUACAGUUACCUGGAUUUCCACCAGAAUAACAGGAAUAAACACUUUUUAAUUGGCUGGUUUAGGCCAGUUUCUUCAGGGCAGUCACAGAGGGUUGCUGUCCAGAAAACCAGAAGGCUGCCAACACCCUUGCCUGGUCCCUGGCUCCCUCUGACUCAGGAUCCAGGCUGGACAGAACACAUUUCUGUGCUCUGAACGCUAAAUCCUGUCCUCUCUGAGCCCGUGCAACAAGAAACCAGCAGUUCCUGCUUGCUGUGAGCUGAAGGCAAGCUGAAAGAAGGGGAAGUGGAGCUGCAAAUCAGUACAUGAUGCCUGCCAUGCCAUUGUUUGAAAAGAUUUUUAUAUAUGUGGAGAUAAUCAGUUAAUCAGUACAUUCAAGGUUGAAGAGGGCUUGUGGCUUCCCAGGACCAAGCCAGUUUGGUCAAAGGGUUCGCUCAGGGGCUUUCCCUCCCUUUUCCCUCUCCUUGCAUUCUGGAUGCCUUGGAAUGGCUGUUGGAAAUCCUUGUUUGGAAAAAGCACUGAAAGUAGCCUCCUCUAUAAAACUUCUCUGUGCUUCCUUGGUCACAACCCACUUGGUCACAACCCUCUCAGGUGCUGAGUCUGCUCAGGAAUGGAUGUUUAAAGCUGAUGGCAUCAGCCAUCUCUGAAGGCCGCGAGUGAGAGCAGCUUUCAAGGCAGUCUUGCACACUUGUGUGGGUGCAGUGGGGACCAUCUGGCAAUGGUUAGCCUGUUGUUAUUUGCUUUGUCGAUUUAUUCUAACCCUUACUGAUGCUGCAGCGCGAGACAGAUCCUCAGGCGAGCUUGUGAGUUCCUGUCUGGGAACUUCCCCAGCCUCCUCCUCAACAAACACAGAUGCAAACAAUUCAGUGGGGUUUUCUGCUCCAAUAUUGUCUUUUCUGCAUGUUCCUUUUCUAUCUCAAUAGCUGAUUCAUUCUAGAAAAUGUCUCUCAGGCUUCCCGCUCCUGACAAGACUGAAAAAGAUACUUAUGUUUUUUUAAGCCUUUCUGUAGUUUUGUGCCAAACUUGUUUUUAACA